GACGAACGCUGGCGGCGUGCUUAACACAUGCAAGUCGAACGGAAAGGCCCUGCUUUUGUGGGGUGCUCGAGUGGCGAACGGGUGAGUAACACGUGAGUAACCUGCCCUUGACUUUGGGAUAACUUCAGGAAACUGGGGCUAAUACCGGAUAGGAGCUCCUGCUGCAUGGUGGGGGUUGAAAAGUUUCGGCGGUUGGGGUUGGACUCGCGGCUUAUCAGCUUGUUGGUGGGGUAGUGGCUUACCAAGGCUUUGACGGGUAGCCGGCCUGAGAGGGUGACCGGCCACAUUGGGACUGAGAUACGGCCCAGACUCCUACGGGAGGCAGCAGUGGGGAAUAUUGCACAAUGGGCGGAAGCCUGAUGCAGCAACGCCGCGUGCGGGAUGACGGCCUUCGGGUUGUAAACCGCUUUCGCCUGUGACGAAGCGUGAGUGACGGUAAUGGGUAAAGAAGCACCGGCUAACUACGUG
rnacentral:rRNA from 1 species